CAGGAACAAGAACUAAAACACAAAAGUUCCGGCGGGCUGACGUGGCAGGGAGCGACUUCACUAAUGAUUCAUUCUCUCUUUAUAUUUGACAUGAUGGGAUACAAAAGCACCAGCAAAGGAUUUCAGUUAUUGAUAGGUGAAACGGGAACAAAUCUGACACUGAGUAAAAAUAAAGGAAAACAGCCUACAACCAAAUCCAAAUGGAGCCUUGGGUUCCACCACCAAAACAACCCUGGCUACGUGGGAGCCACCCAGCCUGGACUGAGGGCUAUAGGAGGAGCCCAUGGCCUGCUCCUCCUUAUUCCAGGCACAACACUGAAUGGACGUAUCACCAUGAACCCUGGGCAGGACCCCAGCCAGAUGCUCAGACACAACACCACCCAUCCACAUAUCAUCCAGCAUUUAUGAGACCAAAUUCUUGGGCACCCUACUAUGAAAGCAGCUAUGCCAGCUGGUCACAUUCAAGGCAAGGUUACGAGAAUCUGAAUCACGGCAUGGUGGGAGAUUAUGCAUACAGAAGUGGCCAAAGAUACUCCCCAACACAGUAUGGUGAAAGAGGUAUUUUGCGGGGUAGGUGUGGAAUCCCGCUUUAUGAUAAAC
rnacentral:lncRNA from 11 species